UAAAUAUUUUGCGUUUAUCAAAGCUCAUAUAAACAAGAUAGGGUAUUCCUACAUAGCUGGUGGGACCCACGGAAAAUGGAUCAUAAAGUCUUCAAAAAAGAAUAGAUACGAUUGCAUUGCAUGUAGUAACGAAUGCGAUCAUACCAGCAUUAAUGCACGGGAUCCCAUCAGAACUCUGCAGUUAAGCGUGCUUGGGCGAGAGUUGUACUAGGAUGGGUGACCUCCAGAAAAGUCCUCGUGUUUUGCCAUUUUUGCUUUUAGUUUCAUUUCAUU
rnacentral:sRNA from 1 species